CCAGUUGACCGGGUGGCCGCUGGCGGACGAGUAAUUGUCCGCCGGAGGAAAGUCCGGGCUCCAUCGAAACACGGUGACGGCUAACAGCCGCCGGGGGCGACCCCAGGGAAAGUGCCACAGAAAGCAAACCACCCGCCGGACGGCCUCGGUCGUCGGCGCGGCAAGGGUGAAAGGGUGCGGUAAGAGCGCACCGGGUGCCUGGCAACAGGGACCGCACGGCAAACCCCACCGGGAGCAAGACCAAAUAGGGAUGACGCGGGCUUCGGCCCAGCCUGUUUCGAGGCCAUGUCAUCCGGGUUGGUUGCACGAGCGCGUCCAGCAAUGGCCGCCAUAGAUGAAUGGUCACCACGUCGCGAUUCGCGGCCCUACAGAACCCGGCUUACAGGUCAACUGGCAUU
rnacentral:RNase_P_RNA from 2 species